rnacentral:rRNA from 1 species
CACGUAGUUAGCCGUGGCUUUCUCAUAAGGUACCGUCAAUUGAUAGUCAUUUCCUCCUAUCACCUUUCUUCCCUUAUAACAGAAUUUUACAACCCGAAGGCCUUCUUCAUUCACGCGGCGUUGCUCGGUCAGGCUUUCGCCCAUUGCCGAAGAUUCCCUACUGCUGCCUCCCGUAGGAGUCUGGGCCGUGUCUCAGUCCCAGUGUGGCCGUUCACCCUCUCAGGUCGGCUACGCAUCGUCGCCUUGGUAGGCCUUUACCCCACCAACUAGCUAAUGCGCCGCAGGCUCAUCCAUCAGUGAUGCCAGGAGCAUCUUUAAACUUUCGUCCUAUCCGGUAUUAGCGAUCGUUUCCAAUCGUUGUCCCCGUCUGAUGGGCAGAUCACCUACGUGUUACUCACCCGUUCGCCGCUUCCCACCGAAGUGGUUCGCUCGACUUGCAUGUAUUAGGCACGCCGCCAGCGUUCAUCCUGAGCCAGGAUCAAACUCU